rnacentral:lncRNA from 1 species
AAGCUGAAGCUUUCUGUGGAGUUUUCGAUGGACAUGGAAGAUUCGGGCACCGAGUGAGUCAGCUGGUGAGAAGCAACCUGCCAUCACUCUUACAAGGCCAGAUGAAAGCUCUUGAUCAACAAGCCAUUGCAGUAGCAGAGGAUGAUGAUUCGAAAAAUCACAUUGACAGAAUAGAAACCGAGUCAGAAGAUUCAGAACCAAGCAAGAAAUUUCACAAAUGGAAAGAAGCCUUUGUUAGCUCCUUCAAAGUCAUGGACAAGGAGAUUAAGCUUCAAGAAAAUCUGGACAGCUCUUGUAGUGGAACCACUGCUGUUGUUGUCAUAAAACAGGUGAGAAAAACUACACAUGAUCAUUGAACAAAUUAUUUAUCUUUCUUUAUUUCUUUGUGUUCGGCUUUAAUUCAAGAAUCAAACAGGGUGAGGAUCUUUUUAUAGCUAAUCUGGGUGACUCAAGGGCAGUCCUAGGAACCACUAGAGAGAAUGGAAUUGAGGCCAUUCAAUUGACCACUGAUCUAAAGCCUGCUUUACCUAGUAAGAAGUUCAUCAUUUUUUUCCAUUUUUUUCCUCUUGUUUAAUUUGAAGUGAUUAUCUGACAGGUGAUCGUUUUUAAUGCAGGUGAAGCAGAACGAAUAAGGGCGUGUGAUGGUCGAGUGGUUGCACUAAAGCAAGAACCUAACAUCCAAAGAGUGUGGUUGCCUCAUAUUGACCUCCCAGGCCUAGCCAUGUCCUGAGCUUUCGGAGACUUCAUACUCAAGGACCAUGGCAUCAUUGCCACCCCUGACGUCUCCUAUCGCCGCCUGACUUCCAAAGAUCGAUUUGUCGUUCUUGCAACGGAUGGGGUAAGCCCUAUUGGAAAUGAAAUGUGUACUUGUUAAGAGUUUUAGCGUUGCCAAAGAAAAAAGGGCACAGUUGCUUUCCUAUGAAUGGCAUUUUAACCACAAUGAUGCGUUUUGUUCUUGGGCUUGGUAUUUAGGUUUGGGAUGUGCUCAGCAACCUUGAAGUUGCAUCCAUUGUGUGGGAAGCUGAUAGUGCACAAGCAGCGGCAAAGGCGGUGACGGAGACUGCGGUGGCCACAUGGAGAAGGAAGUUCCCUUCUGCUAAGAUAGAUGACUGCACUGUGGUUUGCUUGUUUUUGCAAGACAAACUACAUGAUCAUGUUGUGCCUGUAAAGAUAUGAGCUUUUGAGCAAUGCUUGUUGCUUUGUGAUCUUUUUUUAUCUUCAUACAUUUUAACACGACACUAUACUUUUUCAAUUUCUGAUAAGCUAUACUUUUUCAAUUUCUGAUAAGCUACCCGUCCAAUUAUGUACAUAAGCCCACAGGUUCCAUUUUUGGUUAAGACAACAGUUGCUUUCAAGAAUAAAUUUUUGGUCAAAUCAUCCGCCAGUAAAUGAAAUCUUUCAAAACCAAACAGAACCAUUGGCAACCUUCAAAAUGCUCAGUAAAUUUUCAAAAUGUCCACGAAUAAACAAUGAUGUUUUGAUUUGUUUUCUCCAGGCAAUUCUAGAAAGACAUCACAGGGCUAGAAAUUCAUGAACAUAAAUAUAAUAAGACUUGACAUAGUGGCAAAAGGCAUUCUUGAAAUUUCAUUGAAAUGCUUUUAAUCACAAUAGGAUAAGGCCGAUAAACUUCAGUUAAACUCUUUAAUAGGGGAAAAGAAUUAUGUUGCCUCCAGGCAAACGAAACAAAAGAGAACUUUCUGCAUAUAAAAACCCCAUUUGUGAGUAAACUCAAUGCCUACCAUCUGGAUGAAAAAAUAGAAACAGAAGAUCCCGGGCGAAUAUAAAUCCAUUUCCUCUAAUAUUCAAGUGCAUCAUCUUUGGGCGCCUCUCCAAGCAGGUCAUCAUCAUAUGAAACAGGUACCCUUAACCUAUCAUGAACAGAAAGUUGUUUCCCUUCAGUAUUUGACUGAAUGCCUUGAGUUUGCAUUUGACAAAUAACCGGUACGGCAUCUGAAAUAUUAGCUGGAGUAUCAUCCUUGAAUGAAUUCACAAUUGCUUUAGAUGAACCUUCUUUCCCUUGCUGUAUUGGUUGUCUAUUAUUUGUUGACCUGAAUUGCUUCUGCAUGGAGAUAGAAAACAUAAAAAGUAAUCAACGAUGCUGUAGUUUUACACUUUUUCUAAUAAAAGUGAUAUUUAAUUGACGUUUGGGAAAUAACAUCAGAAACAACACUAUGAAUCUAUGAUCCACUACUGCGCACCUCAAAUUCCCUUCCUUUUUUCAUUAUCUCUUUGUAGGCCUUUGGUUCUCGUGCUUUGAUGAUACUCCAUAGUACUCCACCACCAAAUCGGAAACGUUUGCCAUCAUGAGUCAUCUGACCUCCACAAGCCUGGAUCGCAUCCACCUGAAAUUUUUCAUCAUUUCACAAAUGAUAUCCUAGAUACACCAUGGUUUCUAGCAGGGAAAAAGUAUCCAUUCUCCUGAUACUGGAUUCCAUCCGGACUACAAAUAACUAAUAUACGAGAAACAUAGAAACACUUGUAACAACCACAUUUAAUAAAAUUCAGAAAUUACUUAACUAAGGAUAUCGUUCCCUACAAUCAAAGUAAGCUCAAAGAUGUUCAUAAUCACAAAAGUUUCUGUAAACCAUCUCCGGAUAGAGCUUAUGGUUCCUGGGGGAGGAGCAAACAUGAAUGAUGAGCUUUUUGGAGCAAAAAUAGAUGUGUAUUGCUUUGUUACGCGUAUCUAUUAGAGUACUCUUACAUGUGUUUUGCAUGCAUAUUGGCUAAUGCAACUCCAAGAAAAAAUGAUAUCAACCUACACAAAUAGCAUAUGAUGAAGUGGUUCAUCCAGGGGACAUCACAGCUCAGAGCACAAGAUUGAAAGGAGUAAAAUGGCUUCUGCAAGAGAAAUCUGCAAGGGUAGGGAAACAAUAUUGAGGAUCAGAAAUUAUGCAAGGCUGCGUGGCCAAAUAGUGUGCAUAAGCAUCGGCAGCUCUAAGCUGGUCCAAAAUUAAGCAACCCAGAAUCUCACCUUCCCUUGCAAAAGGCCAGUCGAAUCAUUCAAGUCCACUCUCAACAAAGGAUACCCUGCCUUCCCCUUGAAGCUAUAAUGUGAAGGGAACUUAAAAAGGGACAGAUGGCUCAGAAGGUAAAGACAACCUUAAAAGUACCCCAUAAAGCAUAACCAUCCUCCCAAUAACAGGACCCCCAAUUAGCAAAAAAACCAGCGUGUUCAAGAAUCUAUAGAACAGAAUUGGCACAGACAAUAUGAUAGGUGAUUUUUAAUUGACAUCACUGAAACCCAGCUCUGAGUGCAAAUCCCAUGUUCUGAACAUGAGCAGCAAGGUCGGAUCAUCUUAAAGCUAGAUGUGAAGCGGAGUCAAGGCAACCUUAAGAAGUACCCAUAAAGCACGCCCAGACACAACCCAUUCACCCAAUAACAGGAUUACCAUUAGCAGAAAGACCAAGAGUGCUCAAGCAGGUACAUAAUAGAAUUACUUUGAACAAUAUAAUAGAUGAUUUCAAUUGAGAAUAUCACUGAAAACUCCACUGAAAGGUAUUGGGCACAAAGCACAUGUUCUUAAACUGACAGCAAGGUCGGAUCAUCUAAAAAUGCACAUUAAUGCAGAUAAACAUGUACCAAAUUUACAACCAGUUGCUAAUGGCGUCUGUCAAGGAGAUUUUCAGAAGACAAUUACAAAACAUAAUGCAAUGCACACGUAGUUGCGUAUAAAAGAUAAAGAAAACAAUCCCCAAGUUAUAUAAUUUGCUUUGUCACAGCAUUUCCACAAAAGCACACAACGAAGGGCAGCAUACCUCUUUGACGAGAUCAUUCAAUGCAAGAACACCCAGACAACCAACAGCAGUAUAUACCAGAUAUGAUUUCUUCUCUUUCAGUCGCCUACAUGUAUCCAUCACAAACCUGAAAAAGACAUAACAUUAAAAGAAUGUAAAAACCCACAAGAGAGCUCCAAAUUCCUUUUGAAUAUAUGUAAUUUCUUUCGUUCUUAAUCGGGCAGGGCAUAACCUGUCUAUGUCAGUGACAUUAAUUCCAGGGCCACUGUUCCUUCUCCUAUUCCUCUUCUUCUUACCCCUGCGCUUCUGAUUCUUGCCCUGACGUUCUUGGUUUGCUACACUGACAUUGCCACCACUGAUCUGUCCCGAACCAUUUUGUGAGUUAAAAUCCACAAGCUCCCCUUCUUCCACAAGCUCUCCUUCUUCCACAUCAAGCAUCUCAACAUCUUCGCCAUCUUCAAAGUUAUCGUCUUCAAAUACUGCGUCUAGUAUGUUGUGUUCUCCUUCCAUAUAAGGUUUUCUUCAAUGGGGGGAAAAAACGCACCACAAAAUUUAUAAGCACCUACAGAGCAGAAAGCAGGAAGAAAACACGCAGAUUUCCACAGACGAGACAAAAACUGCAAACUCGUGCAAAUUUUCUCUAUGGCAAAUCACCAAACAGAUUAUGCGAGCCCUAACCAGAAAAAAUCACAAGUACAACGAAAACAAAAAAAAAAACGUAAAUAAAUAUUUUUUUUAAAAACCGAUGUACGAACCCUAACAAUGCAAAAACAAACACAGCAAUUCAAAGCUUAUGGAAUUUUCCAAUUAGAGUGCUCUGCUUAAGGACGAUGAAGCAUAACCGCGGCUUUUGGCGUUUGGUUGAUCAGAGGACUGCGUUUCGCUGGUAUGGUCUUUAUAGUGAAGCCUAGAUGAGCGCUGGCGGUAAUCAGUAAUGGCUUGUUUGGCUGCGUGGCAAACGAUGAUAUUAAUCCGGAUUGGGUUAUAGGUGGAAAGGCCCAACCCAAGGACGCUUUGCUUAUCUGUACUGAGCGAGCCCAAAAUGGCUGAAACUUAGUCCAUCCCCAAUCUAUUAGUGAUAUUUUAUGAUUUGUUUUUGUUGAAUACGUAAUUGUUAGUAGGUUAUCUGUCGACGUUUGAUUUCUUUUCAAUAGUGGGCCAUACGUCAUUGGCCAAUCCGUACGAGUCCACAACAAAACUGAGUUGAUGUGGAUUGUUGAGUGUGAAAUUUUGAGGAGUAAGUUUUGGGUGAAAAGCUCGGACCACGUAAUCUAUCUGUCCAACUGUUUUCAUAAGAGGGUAUAAAUUUUAUUGAGCGCCUGUCGGACGGAUGACAUGGUUUUAGAGCAAAGCCAAGCCCAACCUCAUAUUCAGACACCAUUGAUUGGAACGGGUAUGAAGUGGAAAUACAGGCCUUCCUUUAUCUUGUUCAGCAAGCAAUGGUGCAUUUUUGUCCUGUAAUUCAUAAAUCUAAUAGAUGCCCUUUGUCUGCAUCAUCACUUUUGUUGUAUUCUUUAAAUUAUACCUACCUUGUUUUCUACCUAUUCAAACGAGGGGAAGGUGGGCAUGAUUGGUACCAAAGUUUCAACCUAACGUUCUUCAACAUCUAGUAGCUUUUAUAUUAUAAAGUUAAAAGAAGAAAAAUACAAAAAGAAAACUCAUUAGAGCUUCCAGCUCUUGUUUUGAAUGAUGAUAGAUUAAGUCUGAUGUUGGGUUGAAAUAUUCUUUAUUAUGGCUAACUUAGCAUUGAUGUGCUAUGAAAAUAUACGCUGUUAGAUUUAUUGUGAGAAAAAUCAACAGUGAGAUAAAACAAUUUGGUGUUUGAUAAAAAAACAAAAGGGUCCCCACUUGCUCUAACAACAAAAAAACUAAAAAUCUUGCAAGUUAACUAAAGAAACUGUAUUCUUUAAUAAAUGAAAUUUCCCGUUAUUAUCUAUAUAUAUAAAGCAAAAGGCAGAGAAUGGUGAAACAUUCAAAAUACCAGAAAAUACCCUUGGUUAAUGCAAAUAUUAAGAAUUGAAAUUAUUAAUUAAAUGAGGAUAAUAUGGUAAAUUCACAAUUUUUCGUAUUAAAAAAAUUAAAAUUAAAAGAAAAUUCAGAUAAUGGAUCCUAUUUUUAUGGAACACAAAUAUCCAUUAUCUUUUUUAAUUCUAAAAUAAAUUUAAAUUUUUUUAAAAAAAAACCUCUCGCAUGCGCAGAAGCGCGUGCAGAGAGGCUAGUAUAUAUAAAGCAAAAGGCAGAGAAUGGUGAAACAUUUAAAAUACCAGAAAAUGCCAUUGGUUAAUGCAAACAUUAAGAAUUGAAAUUAUUAAUUAAAUGAGGAUAAUAUGGUAAAUUCAUAAUUUUUCGUAUUAAAAAAAUUAAAAUUAAAAGAAAAUUCAGAUAAUGGAUCCUAUUUUUAUGGAACACAAAUAUCCAUUAUCUUUUUUAAUUCUAAAAUAAAUUUAAAUUUUUUAUAAAAAAAACCUCUCGCAUGCGCGGAAGCGCGUGCAGAGAGGCUAGUACGAAUUACGGGUGAAAAAACCAGUGGAAUUAUACGGCGCCAACACUGUAAUUCCCGCAAUAAUACGGUGCCGACGUGUACGCUCCAGAUUGCACCCCUUUCCAAUUAAAGAGUGAGCUCACUGGGGCCCGCAAUCAAUCAUCCAAGUCGCAUUGAAAAAGAGAACCCACGUGGUCACCAAUAAAUAUCAACUCCUCCUCCGACCUUCGAUCUUUGUGUUAUAUGUCAGCUCCACCAAUCAGAUAUCCUCAUACCAAUUUGACCGGAAACCGCCAUGACUCGGUUGGCUAGCGCCGUCGUCCUGUUGUUCCUUGUCUCCCUCUCCAGUUUCGCUGCCGGUAGCCGGGACCUGAUCGGAGACGUUUUACGGUUACCUUCUGAAGCUUCUAGAUUCUUCGGCAGAGGCGAUGACGGCCCUGAUGAGCAAGACGACGGCACCGUGGGGACCAGAUGGGCUGUUUUGAUCGCUGGCUCAAAUGGAUACUGGAAUUACAGGCAUCAGGUCUUAAUUUUACACGAUAUCAUCUUUCUUAAUUCAGAAAUAUUCUUUUUUGUUAUCAAACUUCAGUUGUUAAUGGAAUUUGAGUUAUAAUUUUGGAUGUUAAUUUCAAUUUUUUUUCCCUUCAUGUUUUUUGAAUUGUUUGAUAUCUGAAUUUGGGUAACCUCAUAUUGGAAAGUUUAUGCUUGUAUAAUCUCGUUUAAAUUUGACUUUCAGCUUAUCCAAUUUCUGAUUCUUUUACCUUGUUGCUUUCGAAUUUGUCAAACUAAAUUUUGGAAGCUUAGAGUUUGUUUUGGAACUAAUAUGAAUUUAGCUCAAGCUUGUGUCUUUCUUAUCUUCCUUGAUCUCAUCUCAUUUUGACUAAGACAGAGUUUUAAAUUUACAUGUGGCUUGAGUUUGUUUUGGAACUCAUAUGCAUUUAGUUCAAGUUCGUUUUAUUAAUUAUUAUAUUCCUUGAUCUCAUCUCAGUUUGAAACUUUGACAUGGAGUACAUGAUCUCAACGUUAACCAUAUUUGUAUAGGAGCUGGAUUUCUGUGUCAGGGGUGAAAUUGAUACUUUUGUUGUGUCUAUAUCUUCAUAUGAAUGUCAAUAAAUAUCUUAUUGGUUUCACAUAUUUGAAAGCUAAGCCACCCUCAUUUCUUGAUUGAUGUUUAACACGGACCUUUUUAUCUUGUUUGUUUAGGCUGAUAUUUGCCAUGCUUAUCAACUACUGAAGAAAGGUGGGCUGAAAGAUGAAAACAUUGUUGUAUUCAUGUAUGAUGAUAUCGCUUAUAACGAAGAGAACCCUAGGCCCGGAGUCAUCAUUAACAGCCCACAUGGUGAUGACGUUUACAAAGGAGUCCCAAAGGUCUGUUAUCUUCCCCUCUAGGUGUUUACCUGCUUCUGAAUUGAUAGUUAUAAUUCCCCUCAUGCGGUCGAUUUUACGGUGGCAGGAUUACACCGGCGAUGAUGUUACUGUUAACAAUUUUUUUGCUGCUAUCCUUGGAAAUAAAACUGCUCUUACAGGGGGUACUGGGAAGGUUGUGGACAGCGGUCCAAACGAUCAUAUUUUCAUUUACUAUUCUGAUCAUGGUGGUCCUGGAGUUCUCGGUUAGUAUCAAUUCUGCACAUGACAAUACUGACAUUAUUUUGCCCACAUCCCCAUAUCUUAUCUACUUACUCUUUCCCUAGGGAUGCCUACCAGUCCAUAUAUUUAUGCUAACGAUCUAAUAGAAGUCCUGAAGAAGAAGCACGCAGCAGGAACCUAUAAAAGCUUGGUAAGUUUCUAGUUGAACUGUAAAUAGAUGCUGCAUAUACCAAUAGAGUUGGACUAAUUCGUAGAACUGCAGGUAUUUUAUCUUGAAGCUUGUGAAUCCGGAAGUAUCUUUGAGGGACUUCUUCCUGAAGGUUUGAAUAUCUUUGCAACUACGGCAUCAAAUGCAGAAGAGAGCAGUUGGGGGACUUACUGUCCAGGAGAGUAUCCUAGUCCUCCCCCGGAGUAUGAAACCUGCUUGGGUGACCUGUAUAGCGUUGCUUGGAUGGAAGACAGGUAUGCAGAAUUAUUUUAUUUUGUUAAAUUUUCAAUAAAGGGGUGGGAAGAAAAGCAGCUUAAUGUUAGCUUCAUUUUGCAUACCCUUGGUAAAUAAUAACAAUUUCAUCUUUCCCUAAAAGUGCAUUACUUCUUGAGUAUUGUCACUUUAAGAUUUGCCUCAAAAUAUGAAGAAUAUAUGAAUUAGGUAGAAGUUUGAAACUGUAUCAUUUCAUGCCAGUUGUUUUUUCUUCUUUAAUUCUUGCACUGGUGGUGUGGGUGUUUGGAUUGUCUUUGCAAGAGCAGUUUCUUUCUCAGGUUGGAGAAUGAAACUGUUCAAAUUAUAAUUUUCAUUUGAGAUUUAACAUUUUGACCUUGUGAACAGUGACAUACACAACUUGAGGUCGGAAACUUUGCACCAACAGUAUGAGCUGGUAAGAAUUCGUCUCUUAACACAUUGUUAUGGAACAGAUAGAGAUUUUUUUUUCUUCUUUUGUACAGGAAAGACCAGCUGUUUAUUAUUGUAUGUUUAAAUAAAAGAGAUUGUCUGUAUUUAGAGAAGUCUUGGGGGUCUAGCCAAGAAAUAUCUAGAUGUGAUCCUGCUAGUUGCUAAUGUCAGUUCUUUGAUUUCAUUAUGAUGGCCCAGGUUAAAACGAGGACAGCAAAUGACAAUUCUGGCUUUGGUUCUCAUGUCAUGCAAUAUGGCGAUGUAGGGCUCAGCAAGGAAAACCUCUUUGUGUAUAUGGGGACAAAUCCUGCAAAUGAUAACUACACUUUUCUGGGCGAGAACUCCUUGAGGCCAUCUACAAAAGCUGUCAACCAGCGGGAUGCUGAUCUUGUCCAUUUCUGGCAUAAGGUUAACUCUUACCUUUUUCAUCCGUGAAUAGUUAUUUUGCCUUUUCUUUUAAAUAUCUAGUCUUAAAAUUUAUGUACUAGUCAUCAUCGGUACUUAUAUUUGGAAGUAUUUCAUACUGUUAGAUAUUAUGAUUGAUUUGAUUAAAAGUCAGGAGAGAUCAGUAAUGAUGAUUGGGGAAUACUCCAUGUUUUCAUUGUUUAAACGGUAACAUAUCAUAAGUACCAUGGAGGUUUUGGAACCAUGCCAUUUGCCCUGCUCUCCUGUGAAGCUCCAAACAAAGCAGUAGAAUAUCUCUGCUUGGAACAAGAAUUUUGAAUACCAAAAAGGGAAUGAAACCAAGGUUUUGAUUAAAUAAAAGCCUUAAUUGUUAUGAAAAUCUAAGGUUCUACUUCUGAAUAUUCUGUGGUUUUGUAACUAUUUCUGUGUGUUAGCUGUCAGCCUGAAGAUCUAAGCCCCUUGUUUUCCCUUCUUUUCUUUUUCUGGAUGCAGUACCGCAAAGCUCCUGAAGGCUCACCAAGGAAAAUUCAAGCUCAAAAGGAUUUUGUUGAAGCAAUGUCUCAUAGAAUGCAUAUGGAUCAAACCAUGAAACUUAUCGGGAAACUCCUGUUUGGAAUCAAGAAAGGUCCAGAAGUGCUCAACACUGUUCGACCUGCUGGGCAGCCACUUGUUGAUGACUGGGACUGCCUUAAGACAAUGGUAGUACUUCUGCUGUUCAUUUUCUCCUUAAUGCUGUUAAAACUUUUCUGAUUCCAUCUUGUUCUGCAUAUAAAACAGAUUUUCACAAAUAAUAUAUGUGGCUGUGCCUGAUGGGUUUGUGUGUGCAGGUGAGGAGUUUUGAGACAUAUUGUGGAUCCCUAUCUCAAUACGGGAUGAAACACAUGCGGUCCCUGGCAAACAUCUGCAACGCCGGAAUGACAAAGGAGCAGAUGACCGAGGCUUCAGCACAAGCCUGCACGAGCGUUCCUUCUAGCCGUUGGAGCUCCCUGCACCGGGGGUUCAGCGCAUGAUUUCAAGAAGAAGAAAAAAUGUGGGAUUUGAAUAACCAAUCCGUGGUCAUCUCUAUAUGCAAAACAUAUCUUAGGAUGCAUUUCGAUUAUUGUUAAUGUUAUUCUGAUUGCUUCAGUGUAACCUUGUGUAAAUACAACUCAAGCCCCUGUACUGUAAUGCACGUACCUACUGAAUCUUGUAAGUAAAUAUUAGCAUGUUUGUUGCGUAUGAAUACGUACCUGUUUGCUGCAGCUGGUGUACGCAUCAGGCUCUGGUUAUAAAAAAGUUUGCAAUUACGAUAUGCCUUUGUUUUAUGUUCACUUUGGUUGCUUCAUUAAGGAAGUGAGUGGCUUGUCUCCAUCUCCUUCACCACCACCACUAACAGAACAUAAUUAUCGCGUAACACUUUCAACUUUAUGUCUAUUUGAGUUAUUAUUUACAAUUACAAUUUUUUUAUAUUAAAAUUUAUCAAAUAAUUUUGACAAUGCUUUUUGUACUAGCACUUCAAAAGAAUUAUUUAUUAAACAUGAAGUUGCUUUACUUUACAAUUAAUUAUUUUUAAAGCACAAUAAAAUUAAAUUUUUUAAAAAAGUCACAUCAAUCUCAAAUUCCCCUUCUUUCUUGUCCGUCUCCAAAUGGUAAACUGGUAAUCUAGCUUUUGACCCCCAAAAAAAUGGAAAUCUAGUGGGCCUUUCAUAAGAUAAUGUCAUUAUCAUUGUGUGAGUAUAUUCCGUGUAAUUGAGUAAUGAAAGAUAUCGAUCGCGUUGGGAAUUGGGGAAAGUUAGAAAUAUUUAAGAGACGGAUUUACUCCCUCAAUUAAUGUAAUUUAUGGGUUUUCAAGAAUUAAAUGACGGAUUUUAAUGUGGAACACACAUAAAUUUGUAUACCUGAUGUAAAUUUAAGAGUUGGAAUAAUUUUAAUAUCCAUUAUAGGCAAAUGAACAUGCCAUGCUAUAGGUGUGUGCCCAAUUUCAUUGUGGAGAACGUAGCCGUAGGAGAGCAUGCGUCCAACCCCAAAUUCCCUUUCUUCCUCACCUUGCUCCAACCUGUAGCUGCCAAAAUGUAGGUAAGCAACAGCCUACAUUACGGGUCCAAUAAUGUACAAUUUUGGCAAAGUCCAAUUACUUUAAUGAUGGAAUGAUUGUAUAGUUAAAUCUUACUUAAUAAGAUAAGAGUGAGAGUCAAAUUUAUACGGUGCAUAUUUAUUUCAUGUGUCAAUGCCAAUUAUAUUACAUAUUUUAAUUGAAUAAUACGGACCAUUUAACUUGACACAUGCAAAAUUAUAGAUGAGCUUGUAAUUGUAACAUUAAGAUUCACACAAAAAACGAAACUCACAAUAUUUAGCUGAAUGGAAAAUGUUUUCAAGAUGCAUCUAUCAUAAGUUCUAGCUGUGAACAUUAUUAUAUGGCAGUGUCCCAUCCCAUGGUCUCCCCAAGACUCACAACCCAACAUUUUCUUUUUCUUUUUCUUUUUCUUUUAUUUUUUUAUUUUUAUAAAACGCAACCCAACUUUAAAAAUAUGAUCCAUAAUUGCAUAUUGUCAAACCAACAGUGAAAAAAAAAAAAAAAAAAAGGGAAGCAGGAACCGACGCUCUAGAUUCAACAAUUUUAUUUGGUCAACACACAAAUAUUUAAGCUUGGCUUAUAUACGGUCUAUAAUCGGCCACAGGAACCGGACAUCAAGGACAAUUGUCUGAUAACGUGAAAUCCACGACUCUGGUUAAACUUACCAUGGUUAGUUCACUAUAACCAUACUACAACGAACCGGUUCACCAGAAAAAUAAAAUUAAAAAAUUAAAAAAUUAAAAAAAGGUAAAGGAUGAAUAAAAAAAUAAUUGGGUAAUGCAAAUUAUUGCCACUUAACGGAGUAGUAGAUUCUGUUAGAUUCAUUUGACGAGGCGAAGAGGGGGCGCAUAGUAAGAACGUUGUAACGAGGUUUAAAAGAGACGGAGCUGACGGUUUAAGAUAGGGAGACGCGGGAGCCGUUGGAUUGUUGAUCAAGGGCCGAUAAUGCAAGGCGUUGGACGGUUCAAGUGUGACGGAGAGUGGGAGGGGUCGUAUAAAGCCUGGGUUUUGAAAGGUGAGAGUGCAUUUCGUUCCAUCAAAACAAGAAGAAGAAAGAGGAAGAAGAAGGAGAAAGAGCCUCUCUGACGUUUUGGCCUUCGGUUUUUCUUCUGCUUUAGAAUUUAAAGAGGAAUUCGGGAGAGAAUUCGUAGAGCUGGACUGUGUGUAAUGUUAAGGAUCUAAUUACGAAGCUUUUCUGUGAGCCUGUUGUGUGUUCGCGGGAGAGAGAAGGAGAGAAGAGCUUGCAGAGGUUGGUGAUGGAGAAAACAGAGCUCGAUUUUGGUAGUUUUAAUGUAAUCUGAUUUCUUAGAAUGACCGGGUUAUUUUGUGCAAUUUCUGUUUUGCAGAUACAUUCAGAAGAGCUUUUGGAGGAAUUUGAAGUGAAAUCGAUUGCGAUUUGCUGGGAUAAUUUCCAAGGUGGACCUCAUUUCAUUGAAAUUUACAGAGAAAAGGUCGAGAAAUCUAGUUUAGAGGUGAGGGGAGUUGGAUUUGCUUAAUUUCCUAAACGAUUUCACUCCCUUAUUCUAACUCAUCGUUCGUUUGAUUUUGGUUUCACAGGUACAUUUCCCGGAGAUUUGACCCCUUUUUUUUGAAGAAAUCUCAACUGGGGUAUGAGAUAAAGAAGAACAAGCAUCUCUCAUUCAUGAGUGUCAGGGACAUAGGCUCUAAGUUUCAAUCAUUUCGUUGAUUUUCGGCUCUAGAUUUGCAUUUUGCAAAGUCAGAAGGCCUAGAAGAGCAAGAUUACCCAAAAGAAGCAAACUUUCUUUUGCAAAUUCAGGAUUGUAGCUGCUUGCGAAAUCUCAGUAUAACAGGUGAGGAUUCAUUUUCCGAAUCCUAGAUCAGUGAAACCAAGUCUCGGGCUUAGGAUUUCACUGGCUGAUUUGAUUUCCUUCCAUUUUCGGUUCUUCGAAUUUUGAUAUCUUUCUACUCAAUUUGGUUUCUUCAAGGAGGCUCUCACUUUUCUCUUCUUUUUCCUCAUCUGCAGCAGAGUCCAAGCAAUUGGUUUCUCUGUUUUUUGAUUUUCGAUGUUCAAAAGCAGAUAACUUUGCAACAGAAUUUUAAGCUUUUCAAAUGAAGCCAGCCGAGUUCCUUGACUCUCUCUCUCUCUCUCUCUCUCUCUCUCUCUCUCUCUCUCUCUCGCUCGCUGGGUCUUACAUUUGGAUCCAUCAUCUUUGUCCAUCAUCUUCUUUCAAUUUUCUGUCAUCUGCCUUCUGUGCAAGAAUUUUCAAUUUCAAAAAACUAAUUGACCUUUAUAUUUGGGAAGAUUAUCUCUUCUUCUUCGUCUUCUUCUUCUUCCUCUCCUCCUCCUCCCCAUUUUAAAGGCUUUUAAUAUAUUUUUCUGAAUGAUUUCCGUCUGUAUUAUCAGCAUUGAAAAGAAAAGACCUUCUCUAUGAAAUUUUACCCGCUGUUUUGUGAAAAAUCUAUCUAUCUUUGGUGUUCUUUGCUGGCAGUCCGAAGUUUGUGUCUUUUCCGAAAUUCAAACACCAGCAGAGUGCAAAAUCUUCUGUUUGGUUCUCGGGAAACUGAUACAAGAAAAAACUGAGCUAACAGACGUAAUUGCUCAACUUAUUUAAUCGCAAUUCGUUGGAAGCGUCUGAUAAAAAAAAUAUAUAUAUAUAUCAAAGAUACAAUUUUCAUUCUUUGUCCUUUCCCUGCCUUUUUUUUUUUUCGAUCUUCAUCUUCUCCGUCUGUUUGGGUAGGCCCUGCUUUUCAUUUGAAUUUUAUUUUUAGGCACUCGCAGUUGCAGAGAGCCAGCCACAAUCCAAUUCCAGAUUCUCAGUUUUUGCCAUUUCCGUCCCUAACUUUAAUUAUGAGCAUUAACCGCGGUUAAAGUGUAAAAAAUCAUGUUAACUAACUAACCGCUGUGAUUAAUUCUUGUUUUGGCAUGGGUGGACAGGUGUACAAAAGGAGAUGGAAAGGGACUGUCUUAGGCACACCCAUACUAAAGACACCCACAAUCCCAACACUCGAGACAAAACCGGAGGGGACGCCUCAGCCUCUCUGCUGUUGAGAGCGAGCCCCGAUGCCAUACGACACGCAACGACGUCGUCCGAUUUCGUUUUGCAGUGGGGGAACCGCAAGCGCCUCAGGUGUAUGAAGAUCCAGGUCAAAGACAAGGGCAAAGACGACUCCGACGCCCCGGUUACCCGAACCACAGUCCGGGUCGACCGCCGGGUCGUCCGACCUGAUAAGGACCCGGCCAAUCAGCCUUCCACGGCCGGUAACUCUAAUCAGACGAAUGGGUAUUUGAAUCUCCGUCAACGGCCGUUAUCUCCGCAGCAGCCGCCACUUCAGCGUGUUCUCAGGUUACCACUUGCACUUCACGCUUUUGCUUUAUCUAAUCUAUAUCUAUUGCUUCCACGGGACGUCGUUUCGGUCCUGCCUUUCGUUAACAUGUAGUUUCGUCGUUUUGUGGGGUAGUUGUGGUGGCGUUUUGUCGUUUAAAUUAGUGGCGGGUGGGCCAGGUGCGUGGGUUUUGUCGUUUUUAGUUAUUUUGGGACUUGUUGCCUACGGUUACAUCUGUACAGUUUUGGUGCGGUUUUUAUAUAUACCUUGAUCUCACCGUCAGAUGCAUGAGUCAUAAUCAUCAGAUCAGGAGAUUUUAUAUUCAGACUUGCUUGAUUUUAGAUUUUAGAUUUGUGAGGAAAAAUCUCAGAUGAUUGCGUGGCCAAUUUCUCUACGUCUGUGAAGGUCAAAGAGAAUAAUUUUGUUAGGUAAGUGUUUGUUGCUUUGAUUAGAUUAUUUCAUAUGCAACAAUAGAGUGAUUGCAAAUUCUGUUAUCUUCUUCCUUGUUUGGUUGAAGAGAAAAUCUUGUUUGCGUGAAGGGAAAAUCUCUGAUUUUCUUGUGCAAAUUUGUCGCUUUAGAUUGGAUUGAUUUAUAUGAGUGGGACUGGAUAAAUGGAUAAGGCUAGAAAGCAUGGAAUUUUGUCCCACACCACUGGUUUUUUAUAUUCCUGGCCUGCCAUUAACAUGGCUGUGUUUAAUCCUAUGUGCUUAAUGUGUAGUUGAAUGAAAUUUUGUCGGAGGGUUUUUGAGAUUAGGAGUUUUAAUGAUGAAAUUUGGGGCUGAAUUUGUUGUGAGGCUUAUCUUAAUGAUCAACUCUCCAAUUGGUCAGGUGGGUGAAGAGAUGUAAAAGCCCCAGAAGGAGAGCUCAUGGUAAGUGCAUGAGGGUAGGGUGCCUUCUUUGUUUGUCUUUGUAGGAAACUAGUAGCAUAUGAUUGAAUUAGGUUGCUCAUGUAGUCAUGUAAUCUUUUUGGCUUGAUUGUGCACAACAUAAAACACAUUAACAUAACAAACAACUUAAAUUAGAGAAAGAGAGAGUCUUAGUGCCAUAAGGUCAAGCAUUUACCCUCACAUUCACGGCAAGAGUUUGAUUCUUCCUCGUUCGUGUUUUUCAGGAUGCGGUAUUAAAUUAUGGUAUCAUACAGGAUGGUGUAUCAAUAAGUUGAUGUCAAGCAUGAUUGAUUUGAUACUAGUUCUAGUUUUCUUUUUUGGAAUAAAUGCCUUAUUUAUUGUGAUUGAUUUGUUAUUUAUUUUAGACACGAUGUUAGGGCUGAUUUGAUCAUAAAUCUAGAAUGAUUAGGCUUGAGUAAAUUGAUUUCCACUAGGACUUGUGUAGCAGGCUUAUGUUGCUCAUGGUCACACCGGAUCGGGGCUCCACUACAUCUUAGCAUGAUAGCGUCCGAUCCAUAACGACCGGCACCCUGAUUCCAUGGGCUCAGUGGAAAUAGGAAAUGGGCAACUCCUAUUCCACGUGUCCACGGAAAACCAAUUCUUCAACCCCGUUUCUAGCCCUGGGAUCACUGAUGGAUCAGGCAAUGGAUCCACGCCUUCCACGUUUCAACACGUGUUCCUUAACCCCACAAAAGGCACUCUCAAUCCAACGGCUAAAAUCCUGCCCAAAAACCAGCUGUGCACGUUAUACAGUACAUCACAUCCCUUUCCUCUCUCUCUCUCUCUCUCUCUCUCUCUCUCUCAAAUAUCUAACUUUUCAUUAAAGAAAAGAAAAUUAACAACUCCCUCGUUUAAAAGCAGAACACAAAGGUCCCCCAAAGAAGCCAAAAACCACGCUAAUUUUCUACGCAAAACCCAUUACAAAGCCUCUCUCUCUCUCUCUCUCUCUCUCUCUCUCUCACACCAAUCCACCGAUCUAGAUCGUCUCAAGGCCAUUCCCGUAAUUUCACAACUACCCACAUUAAUUUAAUUUAAUUUAAUUUUUUGCCCAAAAAGUAUCAUUUAUUAUGUUUUGUGCCAGCUUUUUUAUGGGUUUAUUGAAUUCAAUUGAUUUGAUUUGAUUUGAUUUUGAUAUGCGUAUCUGAAUUGUGUAGAAACUCAGAGACCACAACAAGUGCCAUGAGAGGCCAGAGCAACGGAGGCUUGAGGGGAAUUGUUUCACCCGACAACAGAGGGGGUGCGCACGAUAAGAAAGGCAACCACCACCAUCACAACCACCACCACCAUAAUAAUGAGAAUAACAACACCAAGUCUGCAGCUUCUUCGGACACGGCGCACGAUAGUAAAAAGGGGGGAGGUGGGUCUUCAUCGGGAAGCGGCGAAGCAGCGUUGGCGCCACCGAUGGUCUGGCCGCCGAAGUUCGUGAUUGCUUUGACCAACAAAGAGAAAGAAGAGGACUUCAUGGCAAUCAAAGGGUCAAAAUUGCCUCAGAGACCCAAGAAGAGAGCAAAGUUCAUUCAACGCACCCUCAAUGUAAGCUCCUCUAUUUUCCUUUUUUAGUUACUUUAUUAAUUAAUUAGUAUUAAUUAAAACUAACUAGUUUUUUUUAUUUUUUUUCUUUCUCUUUUUAAAAUAACACCAUUGCCUUGCAAAAACAAAUCAAAACCCAGUUUGAUUUUAUUAUAUUUAUAUGGUUGUUUUACCUGUAUUUAUGCAAAUUGUUGUUGCGACAAAAUGUGGACUAGCUUAGAAGGAAGGAAAAGCAAAAAAUAAUAAAAUAAUAGAAUAAUAAAUAGAACUUUCUGGUAUUUGUUUAGUUUGGGUUAAAAGAAGCCGAAGAAGAUUGCUAAAGUGACAGCAAGAACAAGGCAUACACGUGUCCGCCAAGCCAUGUAUGCAUAUACCUAAUAUGCCUAAAAGUUAGUUUGCUGUCCGACUGGAAUAGUAUUAAUAGGACGAUGGUUUGGGUUAAGAUUAAAUUCUAUAUUAUUCAUAAUAAUAUGAUAAUGAAAUAUUUUAUUUAGGGUCGCCUCGUUUAGUGGAAAAUUGAUGUCACACGUGGCAAUACAUGGUUGUUGCUUUUGGGUUGGUUAUCGUGGCGAUGGACGGUGCGUGGCGUCUCAUGUGGCCGCAUGUGAUUUAGUGGGCAUCAGUGGACGUUUAAAGCAAGUGGGCCUUAAUUCUGUACUAACCGACAAAAAAAGGGCAUAUGGGUCGAAACGGACCCUGGGCCUGUUACCGUUGGUUUUUUUUUGGGGGGUUCUUUUUGGGAAAUAAUAUGCUUCAUGUUGAGGGCAUAUAGGUAUUUUCACUAGCCCUUAAUUAUGCUAACUGUUUUCUGGCUUGGACCGCACUGCCAACUGCUGAGCACAAAAGCACGAAAGCUGACUACCCACAAUGCACCGUUUUCGUUUUUUAAGUUCCAAACAUAGCAAAACUCAUCAAAGUGCUUAUCAAAAAGCCUAUCCCGCUUUUUGCCCAUUACCUAAAGCAAAAGCUACGCUUUUGCCAGUCUGUUUUUGCUUGUUUUGGCCUCUUCCUUUUAAUUAGCUGGAAGAUUAUUGUUCUAAUUAGUUUUUUAUUUUCUGUAAUUUUGUUUUAUAGCUGGUAAGCCCAGGAGCAUGGCUCUGUGAUCUGACCCUAGAACGGUACGAGGUCAGAGAGAAGAAGAUUUCCAAGAAGGUAUUUUAUUGAGUAAUUUUCUUCGAUUCAGGGCCUAAAUCAAAUUUCCUUAAUUUGCCUUUAAUGUUGAUAUUUUUAUGCAGCAGAAUGAAUAGUUUUUUUGUGUUUUUGCAUGAUGCUGCAGAGACCAAGAGGGCUAAAGGCGAUGGGCAACGUGGAGUCUGACUCUGAAUAGAAAGGAGUUUUAGUGAAAAGACUAAUAUAGCAUUUUCGUUUUUUUUCUCCUCCUUUUUUUGAAGGUAUGAGAAAAAUGUUAGAACUUUGUAAAAAUCUUCACCUUUCAACCAUCAGAAUAAUGAAUGGAUUCAUUUCCGGUCCUGUAUACAGUCUUGUUCCUCAUCUUCCUACUAAGUUUGUUUAAUCAGAACAAGAAAAAAAAAACAAAUCAUCACGUCCAAGCACACGAACAAAUGAAAUUUCUCUCUUUCAAACCCUAAUUGUGAAAAAUAAUUAAAAUAAGCUUCAGGGAUGUAAUUCAAGUGGUUAGUCAUGACAUGUUACACAAUCCAACAAUUUUUUGUUUUCUUGUCAACCUACAACACAUUUUCUUAUGUCGUAUUAAGUUAGAAAAGGGAAUUAACGGUGUUGGAUAGUCGUCCAAACGCACGUGAGUGUCUUAUGAUUGUUCAUAUAUUAACAUAUGGGUCUCAGUCUAACAUACAUCGAUGACUUACGGUGGAAGUGCUCAUUAGGCAUGGGCAAAAUCAGUUUCAGACUUCACCAUCCGAGUGAAAAAGAAACUCGAGACUCGAUCGCUCUCAAGAUGUGAAGAAAAUCACGAAAUUGACUCUUGAGACGAGAUUUGAGACUCUUUAGAGGUUAGACUUCAAGAAGGAAGAAGAAAAACAACAAACCAUAACUCUCUUUAGCUGACACACGUAACGUAAAACCACAAUAUAUGAAUUUGCAAAGCUAUUAAAGACAAUGACAUCUAAAAAUUUACCCGAGACAGGAGAAAAACCAGAACCCCAACUCCCUAAAGUUACCUAGUCAUUAGCAAAUUGAAGGGCCACGUCUAAUUUAUAAUGAUAAGAGAUAAUAUCAUUGUUUGGUCGCAUGAUUUGUGGAUGCCACUUUACAUUAUGUGGCCUCCUUAAUUGGUAUUUUGAUGUGACACGGAACACUUAACGCGGUAAUUUAAUUUCUUAACGUAAUUGACAAUUUCAAUGAAAAUCCAUGACCUAUCAUAUCAGACCACCAAACCAAACCCAACUGAAUUAAACUAUUGGAAGAGGAGAAAACAUGGGUCCUAAUUCAAAUUAACAUUCAUAAUUCGCCAUCAUUGACGGGAAGACCCGAAUUAAUCCCCUUAAUUAUGCCACGAAGAAGCAUAAACACAUUUUAAGAAUAACAUCUGCUCUGUGAGAGUUUGUGGAGACAGACAGAUCCACCACCCACCAUCCAGCUGGUUCUCAAAAGGCAAUUCUAAUGCUACCUGCGGGUCGUGAAGAAAAGAGGAAGAUUUUUCAAUUUAAUUAGCCCCCAAAAAAUAGCAUGGAAAAUACCCCCAAAGGGCCCUAAAUAUACCCUUACCCACUGGGCAUAUUUGUCAAUAAACACUGAAAUUAGGGAUUUUUUCAGGACCCAAACACAAUUGCUAUAGUCGGUGACCCAGAGCCUAUCAAAUUAUAAACUCAUUACGUGUUGCAGUUGGAAUUACAGCUUUAUUCUGUUAGAAUAAAUGAUUAAUUUACACCGACUUGGCUACGCCGCUUUUUUGGUCCAAGCGAAAAUAAAAUAAUUGGAUCUGGAUUUGUAAUUUGCCGCUUUUUAUUUGCAGGUAAUGAAAAUGAAAUAACAAUUUGGAUAUUAGUUAAUUUUGAUAUCACAAGCUAGACAAACACCAUUCUCAAAGCAACUCAAGCAUCAAACACAGGAGGAGGAGGAGGAGGAAGACAAACGAAAUAAAAUCAAUGAAUUAUUUACUCAUAAUAAGGAUAAUAAUCGAAAUCCACAAAUACAAAACCCAUAGUAAUAAACCAAGUGCAUUAUAUAUGUAGUCUAUGCACCACAAAAACCCAUAUGACACUGAAAAUCCUAUAGAUCCAUAAUCACCAGCUACUAAAAUGACAAACGCUACUAAUAAAAAACCAAUCAGAAACCCAACCGCUCUCUACACAGCCCCAACCAUAGUUGCAGUAGUAAGCGAAGACUCAAACCCUGAGCGCAGAUCCGAAGACGAUAGCGGCGAAGGCGGCGGCGAAAGCAGAGAUGAACGACGGGGAGAUGGAGGCGGAUGCGGAGGUUGGGCUAGGAGCUGGAGAUUCGGCGGCCUGAGCGGCGCCGAUGACAGAAAGGACGGUGACGAAGACCGCCAUGAGAGCCACGAGUGAAGUUGCCUUUGAGACUGCCAUUGUUGAUUGGUGUGAGAGUUUCUUGUGCUUCGGAAUCUAGGGUUUUGGGAAUACGCCGAGAGACUGAAGCACAAAUAUCAGAGGUGGAAUGAAGUAGGCUCAAGGAACGUAUUUAUAGCGGGGAUUUUGGGCUGGGGUCGGGCAGCCUGGGCAGCUGCCCGGUUCUACAGGCUGGCUACUUGUGAUUGGUUCAGCGCGACAGCUCACACCGCUGGUCGGGGUAAAUUUUUCUCUGUGGGCCCCACUAGAAACCAGUGUCUACGCGGAGUCGUUU